rnacentral:rRNA from 1 species
GAGUAGAGCGGCGAACGGGUGAGUAACGCGUGAGGAUCUCCCCUUCAGUGAAGGAUACCCUUGAGAAAUUAAGGUUAAUACUGCAUACGUCCUCCAUUAACAUGGAGGAGAAAGAUGGCCUCUUGCUGUCGCUGAAAGAUGAACUUGCGUUCUAUUAGCUAGUUGGUGGGGUAAAGGCUCACCAAGGCGAUGAUGGAUAGCCGGCCUGAGAGGGUGAUCGGCCACAUUGGAACUGAGAUACGGUCCAGACUCC